UGAGGGCACUGGGAUUUAUAGGGAUGUGUAUGGGUGAGCAUCAGGACAGUCUAGACUUUUACAACUGUUAGUUACUUAUGAAUUUAUUUUCUUUGCAGAAAUCUGAAGCACAAAGCAGAAAAAAAAAGUCAUUGCCAUCAGAAAUCCAUUGUAUCUCUCAACAUAGAUAGGUAACCUGGCAAGCAGCAAAUUUAAGAGGCAAAGAUGUUCACUACUCUAGUAUAAAGCGCAUAUGAGGAAGCUUUGUGGACAAACCUGAAGCAGAAAACAAGCAGCGGAAUAAUUCUCUUUUGAGGCUGCUUCACACUUUCUCCUUUCAGAAGUCCUGUGCUUGAAUAACAGACCGUUAUACAGGAUGGGCAACUUAUUGAACAUUGAACAAUAAGAAGUGCUGCAGCUGUUGUCUUUCUGUCUAUCAUACAGGUGGUUUUAGACCUGCGCCUCCUUGUAUAAGGCUGUCAGGAUUUUCCAGCUUAACCAAUAUUGUUCAAUAAAAACUAUAUUUUACCUCGA